rnacentral:rRNA from 1 species
UGCAUAUCAAUAAGCGGAGGAAAAGAAACUAACAAGGAUUCCCCUAGUAGCGGCGAGCGAAGCGGGAAGAGCUCAAAUUUAUAAUCUGGCACCUUCGGUGUCCGAGUUGUAAUCUCUAGAAAUGUUUUCCGCGUUGGACCGCACACAAGUCUGUUGGAAUACAGCGGCAUAGUGGUGAGACCCCCGUAUAUGGUGCGGACGCCCAGCGCUUUGUGAUACAUUUUCGAAGAGUCGAGUUGUUUGGGAAUGCAGCUCAAAUUGGGUGGUAAAUUCCAUCUAAAGCUAAAUAUUGGCGAGAGACCGAUAGCGAACAAGUACCGUGAGGGAAAGAUGAAAAGCACUUUGGAAAGAGAGUUAACAGUACGUGAAAUUGUUGGAAGGGAAACGCUUGAAGUCAGACUUGCUUGCCGAGCAAUCGGUUUGCAGGCCAGCAUCAGUUUUCCGGGAUGGAUAAUGGUAGAGAGAAGGUAGCAGUUUCGGCUGUGUUAUAGCUCUCUGCUGGAUACAUCUUGGGGGACUGAGGAACGCAGUGUGCCUUUGGCGGGGGUUUCGACCUCUUCACACUUAGGAUGCUGGUGGAAUGGCUUUAAACGACCCGUCUUGAAACAC